rnacentral:rRNA from 1 species
GACGAACGCUGGUGGCGUGCUUAACACAUGCAAGUCGAACGGGAUUUAGUAAACAGAAGCCUCGGUGGAAGAUUACUAAUGAGAGUGGCGAACGGGUGAGUAACGCGUGAGCAACCUGCCUAUGACAGUGGGAUAGCCUCGGGAAACCGGGAUUAAUACCGCAUAAAAUCGUAGAAACACACGUUUUAACGGUCAAAGAUUUAUCGGUCAUAGAUGGGCUCGCGUCUGAUUAGCUAGUUGGUGAGAUAACAGCCCACCAAGGCGACGAUCAGUAGCCGGUCUGAGAGGAUGAACGGCCACAUUGGAACUGAGACACGGUCCAAACUCCUACGGGAGGCAGCAGUGGGGAAUAUUGCACAAUGGGGGAAACCCUGAUGCAGCGACGCCGCGUGAACGAAGAAGGUAUUCGUAUCGUAAAGUUCUGUCCUAUGGGAAGAUAAUGACAGUACCAUAGAAGAAAGCUCCGGCUAAAUACGUG